CUAAGAAUAUUCCGCAAUGGGCGAAAGCCUGACGGAGCGACGCCGCGUGGAUGAGGAAGGCCGAAAGGUUGUAAAAUCCUUUUGCUGGGGAAGAAUAAGCGUGACAGGAAAUGGUCGCGCGAUGACAUGAACCGGCGAAUAAGCCCCGGCAAACUACGUGCCAGCAGCCGCGGUAACACGUAGGGGGCAAGCGUUGUUCGGAAUUAUUGGGCGUAAAGGGCAUGUAGGCGGUUCCGUAAGUCCGGCGUGAAAUGGUAAGGCUCAACCUUAUCCUGCGCCGGAAACUGCGGGACUAGAAUCACUGAGGGGGAAUCAGAAUUCCAGGUGUAGGGGUGAAAUCUGUAGAUAUCUGGAAGAAUACCAGUGGCGAAGGCGGAUUCCUGGCAGAUGAUUGACGCUGAGGUGCGAAAGCGUGGGGAGCAAACAGG
rnacentral:rRNA from 1 species